UUUCGAAUCAUUCACAAUGGGCGAAAGCCUGAUGGUGCGACGCCGCGUGAGGGACGAAGGUCUUCGGAUUGUAAACCUCUGUCACUAGGGAAGAAACACUAUGAUUUAACAGAUUAUAGUCUGACUUAACCUGGAGAGGAAGCAGUGGCUAACUCUGUGCCAGCAGCCGCGGUAAUACAGAGACUGCAAGCGUUAUUCGGAUUCACUGGGCGUAAAGGGUGCGCAGGCGGUUGUGUGUGUCAGGUGUGAAAUCUCGGAGCUUAACUCCGAAACUGCGCCUGAAACUACAUGACUAGAGCAUUGGAGAGGGUAGCGGAAUUCACGGUGUAGCAGUGAAAUGCGUAGAUAUCGUGAGGAACACCAGAGGCGAAGGCGGCUACCUGGACAAUUGCUGACGCUC
rnacentral:rRNA from 1 species